UACAAGACAUUUACGUGAAUCAUUUAAAAAAGCCGACGUUCAACAGUCAAAUUGAAAUUCUAUUGGAAGGUGUACGAUCGAAACAGUACCAACCGUUAAUGACGCGUACACGAUGUGAAAGUUUGGAAAACCGAAUAGCUCAUUUCGCCAAGAAAGGCGAAUCGAAGUGUCAAGAAAUGAGGAAGAAGAUUGACGGUUGAUAUUCUACGAAUGUAUUGUUAAAAAGCUACAAAGUACAUUACUUUAAAGAAAGAAAAAAAAAAAAUAUUUUUUGACAAUCUAA